GACAGAGUAGCUUUUUUUAAAAGUGUGAUACGUAGCAAGAAGGUAUGUAAUGUACGUGUCAUUUCAUACAAUACUUACUGUAUGAAAGUAAAAUCACACUGUAUGAAAGUGUGAAAAUCACUGUUGGAUCUCUGAAACUGAUUUCAUUGAUUUCAUAGGUCGCUUCAGUUAGGAGGCCAGGAGUCAUGUUUGAAUCUGGCUUGCACAAGCACAAAUGGGCAUGUGUGGUGUGAGUACUUCCAAUGACGGUGCUGACAAUGACAAUGUUGGCCCUUGUCUGACACCUUGCUGCCUGAUGAAGUAUCCUAAAAUGCUGCUGUUAUGAUGUCACAAUUCUGCUCAAAGACAUCUGGAGGCUGUCCGUCAGCUCAAACUCCCACUAUUCCACUGUGUGCCACCAAUUUCACUUAUUUGUCUCCUUUGGGACAGAGCUACAGGUAGGAGAAGAAAAGCCCUAAAUGUCACGUUGGACUCAUUUAACAAGUUUGCAAGAAAGCAUGACAAGCACAUUGGGGCAAAUGGCUUCAGCUGCUGCCCAGCAACAGCCGGUUCAUCAAAGCCUUUGAGAGUAGCUUUGAAAAUGUGUCAGCCAAUAGGCGGGCAGGACUGGCCCAGCAGCUGAGGGACCCCUCCCCCUCGCUGGAGCCAAGGAUGGGGAAGGAGCAGAUGGAGGCCUCGCUCCCCUUGGCUGGCUCUCAGGGCACAUUGUCCCACACUCAGGACUCAGAAACUGAGACCAAGGCAGACCGUUCACAGGCUUUUGCUCUUGGCCCAAAGCUCCGGAAGGAAGGAAUCUUAUAAGCCCCUGUGCAGUGUCCUUCGUGGGGCUGAGGCGCUGGAUCUUAACCAGGGCAGGCACCCUGUAAGGGUUUGUCUCCUAUUAAAUUUGCCUCGAGUCUUCUCACGUGUCAUUAAUCAAGCAGCUGAACCGUCACUGCGGAAGCAUGGCAUCUAUUAUGGUCUCUGAGGGAUCCCUUUCUCUAGAUUCCAGACCUUUUGGCUCCUGGAAGAGAGACAUCCAUCCUGCCAGGAAGGCCCAAGCCUGCAGCACGUUGCAGGCUGCUCAAGAGACUUUCCCUGCAGCCCCAUUGCAAUCCCCAGAGUUCUGUGAAUCCCCCCGCAUUCCUAAGGUCCCUGCAGCAACAAAGCCAGCCGACUUUGGGGAGCCACUGCACAGGGAGAGGAGCCUCCAACAGGGAUCUAUAUGGGAGUUCCUGAGAACACAGCCAUAUGGUGUGUGUCUAGCCUGUUUUGUAAAAUGUGUUCCACUUUCUCUGUAGCAAGCACCAAUCCCCAGAGGCUGAGUUAGGAAAGUUCUCAGGCCUGCUUCCCUUGUCCCCCCUGCCACUGAGGCCCGUGUCUCCAAGCUAAUCUUUGCUCCCUGGGAGAUGGGAGGAGCCAUCUGUCUGCAGAAGUCCACCUCCUGCUUCCAUGGCAUCCCCAGCCGCACACGCUGUGAAAUCUCCUCCUUUGAUUUCUAAAUAGCGAGCCUUGCUGAGAAACACCCAUUCAGCCGGAGUUCCCCUUUCAAUAUCUUUAAUCCCAGAUGGAAUACAUAAAGUGAAUAAGGCUGUCUCUAUACUGAUAUGAAAAACUCUCUGGCCCAGCGAUGGAGGAUCGCAGGGUGAUGAAAAUACAGCAGGAGGAGAGGCUGCUUUUAAUAUGAAAAGAUGAAUCAAAAUGCACAAAUCAUAACUGCCUCUCUGCAAUAACCUAGCUUCUGCCUUAACCUUUUCAGGAUCAUAAAAAAUAGUCUACUCUCAUUUAAAUAAAUAGUUUAUGUCUCUCUGGGCUCUCUUUUUUGCAGACAUACAGUAAGUCUCUGAGCACUACAUAGACGAUCUGAAUAUAUGUAACCACACAGUCGUUACAGAGACGUGUGCACACAGCCACACACACCUUGUUCUAAUUCCUUUUGUUCUAAUUUCUGCAGUAAAUUCUGUGCUUAUGAAGCAAGAAUUAUUUCAGAAUUAAACAAAAUAAAGAGAAGCAUCUG
ensembl:lncRNA